GAAAAACUCGCAGCUAGGUAUGGUCUCUGACAAUAAUAUAUAUAAAAAAUGUUUUUUCAACCUUUCAUGGUUUCCCUCUCUUUUAAAAUCCUUGGAGGGAAAUAAGAACUCGUUCAAAAAUUAAAAUAAAAACAAACCCCCCUAGCCAAAGCCAAAUUUCUCUACUCUUUCACUCUUCUUUGAUUCUUAAAAUCUAGGGUUUUACUGGUAAUUAAUUUACUUCACCGGCUCUCCUUCAUUUCUUUAAUUUGCAGCCAAAAAAAAAUGGUGCCAGUUCAUCACUUGUAAUCUGUUCAUGCUCGAUUUUAACUUAUCAGAGUACAGGGUGCUCCGGUCAGGACUGUAUCUCCAAUUUUUGGUUUUUUCUGCUGGAGCUGAGUAAGGUGGAAUAGCUUCAAGUCUGGGACAAUCUUCCUGUGGAAAUGCAAACUAAGAAAAGAAUUUGUGGAAGAAAUGCUUCAAGAGAGCUUGCAAGUCCUAGGAUUUCAAGAGCUCAGAAGAAACUGUCUGAAAAUGUGCAAGUCGCAGAGAAAGUUUCAGAACUAAUUACAUCUUCAGCUAGAAAGCAGAAAUGCACCCUUCCAAUGAAAAAUCAGGAGCCUAUUGCAGCAACAAAUUUGAAUACUAGAUACAACUCGGUGCAUCAUAAGGCUUCUGAUGCUUCAACUCAAUGUGAUGUGGUGGAUCCUGAGGGCUGUAAUGAAGGAGCUGCUCAAUGUGUGGUUCAAGCUAUAUUUUCUCCUGCUUUUCACAUAUCUAAGAUUACUGGAGGAGAAAUUCCUGAUGGAGUUUCAAACGGAGUUGGUCUUCCUUCUGAAGUUUCAUCUAUAUAUCUUGCAAUGAAGAACUCAAAACUGGAAUGUGUUGAUGAGCAUGGUCAAGAUUCUAUGUCGACUGAUGUUUACAUGGAGGAGGAGGAUCACGAGGAGUUUGAUGACUUUGACCCUUAUCUAUUUAUAAAGAACCUGCCAGAGUUGUCAUCAGUAGUCCCCACUUUUCGGCCUAUGCUGCUACCUAAACAGACACGGAGUUGUCCUCCUACAACUCUUGUUUUGGACCUGGAUGAAACACUGGUGCACUCCACACUUGAACCUUGUGAUGAUGCGGACUUCACAUUUCCUGUCAACUUUAACCUCCAGCAGCACACAGUCUUUGUUCGGUGCCGUCCUUACCUCAGAGAUUUCAUGGAGAGAGUUUCUAGUCUUUUUGAGAUCAUAAUAUUUACUGCUAGCCAAAGCAUUUAUGCAGAACAGCUUCUAAAUGUGCUUGAUCCAAAGAGGAGAGUGUUUCGACAUCGUGUUUUUCGUGAAUCCUGUGUUUUUGUUGAGGGUAACUACCUCAAGGAUUUGUCAGUUCUUGGUCGUGAUUUGGCACGCGUUAUUAUAAUUGACAACUCUCCCCAGGCAUUUGGCUUCCAAGUAGACAAUGGUAUACCAAUUGAGAGCUGGUUUGAUGAUCGUGCAGAUAAAGAAUUGCUCUCACUACUUCCAUUUUUGGAGAGCUUGGUUGGGGUCGAAGAUGUUAGGCCAGUGAUUGCAAAGAAAUACAAUCUUUGGCGGAAAAUUGCUUCAGCUGCUUACCCUCCAUUGAAUUCAAGUAGAGAUCCUUUUGAAAGGUAGCUUCAAGUAGACGAGAUCCUUCUGAAAUAUUCGAGUUGGAAUGCAAUUACAGAAUUAAAAUGUCAAGGAAAUCACAUUCUCUUUCGUGGAGAAUGUCUUUGCAACGGUGAGAUUUGAAAUUGAAGUGCGAUUCUAACCAGAAAGACUGAGGAAGGUGUUUAUGGAUUUAAUCAUGUGUGAGAGUCAGAAACUGUUCAUGGUAGGAACCUGGAGCAUGAAAGUGCACCACAGAAGGCAUUUUGGCUGCCAACAAGACAAUAAUGCUAUAGAAUUGGGAGGGGAUUGGAUGUUCGCUCAGAUCAAGAGCUACCUACUUCCAUUUUGGCAGAGCCGGGCUGCAGUUGGUGUGAGAUUACUGAUGGCAAAGAAACACAAUCUAACAGAGGAAAUUGCUGCUGCUGUGUGCAUCAACUGGGUUCAAUUGAAGAAGAUCCUUUUGAAAGGUAGCCUUAAGCUGGUCAGGAACCAGAUUCUUUUGUUAAGCAUGUAUUUGCAAGCCUGAUAUUUGAAAUUGAAGUGCGGUUCCAACCAGAAAGAGGGAGGGAGGUUACCGCGGGUUUGAUCGUGUGAAAAAGCUGAAACUUUUCAUACAAGGAAGCUGGAGAGUGAAAUUGCACUACAGCUAAUGCGGUUUACAAGAAUGUAACAUAAAUCUAUCGGAAAUAGACAAAUUCAUGUGUUUGAGAAUUAUGAUCUUUGUUUCAUCAUAGAUUUUACUUCCAACGAUUUUACAAUUGAAAUGUGAUGAAUGAUGGUACUGCUUG